rnacentral:rRNA from 1 species
GAUGAACGCUGGCGGCGUGCCUAAUACAUGCAAGUCGAGCGAACGGACGAGACGCUUGCUUCUCUGAUGUUAGCGGCGGACGGGUGAGUAACACGUGGAUAACCUACCUAUAAGACUGGUAUAACUUCGGGAAACCGGAGCUAAUACCGGAUGAUAUUUUGAACCGCAUGGUUCAAAAGUGAAAGACGGUCUUGCUGUCACUUAUAGAUGGAUCCGCGCUGCAUUAGCUAGUUGGUAAGGUAACGGCUUACCAAGGCAACGAUGCAUAGCCGACCUGAGAGGGUGGUCGGCCGCCCUGGAGCUGAACCACGGUCAAGACUCCUACGGGAGGCAGCAGUAGGGAAUCUGCGGCAGUAGGCGAAAGCCUGGCGGAGCGACGCCGCGUGAGUGGUGAAAGUCUUCGGAUCGUAAAACUCUGUUAUGAGGGAAGAACAUAUGUGGAAGUAACUGUGCACUUCUUGACGGUACCUAGUCAGAAAGCCACGGCUAACUACGUG